rnacentral:rRNA from 1 species
UACAGAGGUCUCAAGCGUUGUUCGGAUUCAUUGGGCGUAAAGGGUGCGUAGGUGGCGUGGUAAGUCGGGUGUGAAAUUUCGGAGCUUAACUCCGAAACUGCAUUCGAUACUGCUGUGCUUGAGGACUGGAGAGGAGACUGGAAUUUACGGUGUAGCAGUGAAAUGCGUAGAGAUCGAUAAGGAAGACCAGUGGCGAAGGCGGGUCUCUGGACAGUUCCUGAC